rnacentral:rRNA from 1 species
GACGAACGCUGGCGGCGUGCUUAACACAUGCAAGUCGAACGGAAAGGCCCUUCUUUUUUGGGGUGCUCGAGUGGCGAACGUGUGAGUAACACGUGAUUCACCUGCCCUUGACUUUGGGAUAACUUCAGGAAACUGGGGCUAAUACCGGAUAGGAGCUCCUGCUGCAUGGUGGGGGUUGGAAAGUUUCGGCGGUUGGGGAUGGACUCGCGGCUUAUCAGCUUGUUGGUGGGGUAGUGGCUUACCAAGGCUUUGACGGGUAGCCGGCCUGAGAGGGUGACCGGCCACAUUGGGACUGAGAGACGGCCCAGACUCCUACGGGAGGCAGCAGUGGGGAAUAUUGCACAAUGGGCGGAAGCCUGAUGCAGCAACGCCGCGUGCGGGAUGACGGCCUUCGGGUUGUAAACCGCUUUCGGCUGUGACGAAGCGUGAGUGACGGUAAUGGGUAAAGAAGCACCGGCUAACUACGUG